CAUAGCCUAUGGAUGAAUUCACCUUUGCAUGACUGUGAUGGCACUGAAAAUAUAAUAUAGGCUUUUGUUAUAAGUAAAAAGUCAUAAUAAAAGCUAUUCAUAAUGAAUUUUUGAAUUAGAAAUAAAAUACUAAUAAAUCUAUUUUCGUAAGUGUGCAUUAUUCUUCAUGUUUCAUUUUAUUGUGUUUGAAUUGUUAAUUAAUUGUAAUAGCUAUUUUCUUAGACUUGUUUGAAACAAUAAAAGUGUUUUGUUAAUUUC